GACGAACGCUGGCGGCGUGCCUAAUACAUGCAAGUCGAGCGAAGCGGCGGAUGGGUGAGUAAUGCGUGGGUAACCUGUCCUUAAGUCUGGAAUACUAUAUGGAAACAGAUGCUCAUACCGGAUACUAAAGGAAGGACCUGCGAUGCAUUAGUUAGUUGGUAAGGUAACGGCUCACCAAGGCGAUGAUGCAUAGCCGAGUUGAGGGACUGAUCGGCCACAUUGGGACUGAGACACGGCCCAAACUCCUACGGGAGGCAGCAGUAGGGAAUCUUCCACAAUGGACGAAAGUCUGAUGGAGCAACGCCGCGUGAGUGAAGAAGGUUUUCGGAUCGUAAAGCUCUGUUGUUGGUGAAGCGGUAAUCAACCAGAAAGUCACGGCUAACUACGUGCCAGCAGCCGCGGUAAUUC
rnacentral:rRNA from 1 species